rnacentral:tRNA from 1 species
GGUGGCACAGUGGUUAAAGCGCUUGGCUGCUAACCAAAAAGUUGGUGGUUUGAACCCAUCAACCA